AAUCUGGGGCCCUCGGCCUCCGAGUUGUAAUUUGGAGGGGCACCUUCGGGGGGGAGCGCCGGCCCAUGUUCCUUGGAACAGGACGUCACAGAGGGUGAGAAUCCCGUGCCCGGCCGGCUGACUCCUCCCGUGUGAAGGACCUUCGACGAGUCGAGUUGUUUGGGAAUGCAGCUCCAAGCGGGUGGUAAAUUUCAUCUAAAGCUAAAUACCGGCGGGAGACCGAUAGCGCACAAGUAGAGUGAUCGAAAGAUGAAAAGCACUUUGAAAAUAGAGUCAAAAAGUACGUGAAAUUGUUGAAAGGGAAGCGCUUGAGACCAGACUCGGACCUGAGCAAACACCGUGCCCCUCGGGGCCGUGCAAUUGCCCAGGGCCGGGCCAGCAUCAGUUGGCGUGGCGGGACAAAGGCGCGGGAAAUGUGGCUCCCCUCGGGGAGUGUUAUUAGGCCCGCGCUCAAUGCCGCCGACGCCGACUGAGGACCGCGCCUCGGCUAGGAUGCUGGCUUAAUGGCCUUCAGCGACCCGUCUUGAAACACGGACCAAGGAGUCUAACAUCUAUGCGAGUGUUUGGGCGUCAAACCCUUGCGCGGAAUGAAAGUGAGCGGAGGUGGGAACCCCUCGCGGGGCGCACCAUCGACCGAUCCUGAUGUCUUCGGAUGGAUUUGAGUA
rnacentral:rRNA from 1 species